rnacentral:rRNA from 1 species
GUCCUAGCCGUAAACGCUGCAAGUUAGGUGUUGCAUAUUCUUCGGGAAUGUGCAGUGUCGUAGUGAAGACGUUAAACUUGCCGCCUGGGAAGUAUGGUCGCAAGGCUGAAACUUAAAGGAAUUGGCGGGGGAGCACCACAAGGGGUGAGGCGUGCGGUUUAAUCCAACUCAACGCGGAGAAUCUCACCAGGAGCGACGGCAGGAUGAAGGUCAGUCUAAAGGGCUUACCCAACGAGCCGAGAGGUAGUGCAUGGCCGUCGU